UACGUAGGGUGCGAGCGUUAAUCGGAAUUACUGGGCGUAAAGCGUGCGCAGGCGGUUUUGUAAGCCAGGUGUGAAAGCCCCGGGCUCAACCUGGGAAUGGCAAUGGAUACUGGCAAGCUAGAGUGCGGUAGAGGGUAGUGGAAUUCCCGGUGUAGCGGUGAAAUGCGUAGAGAUCGGGAGGAACACCAGUGGCGAAGGCGGCUACCUGGACCAGCACUGACACUGAGGCACGAAAGCGUGGGGAGCAAACAGG
rnacentral:rRNA from 1 species